UGCCCAGAACUCCUAUCUCUACCUCCUCGUGGUACUGGUCGGGGUAGGGAACUGGCUGGGAACCUCCUCAUGGUGGGAACUUUGUUCGAAUGUUGACUAGGAAGG
rnacentral:ribozyme from 1 species